CCUACGGGAGGCAGCAGUGGGGAAUAUUGGACAAUGGGCGCAAGCCUGAUCCAGCCAUGCCGCGUGAGUGAUGACGGCCUUAGGGUUGUAAAGCUCUUUCGCACGCGACGAUAAUGACGGUAGCGUGAGAAGAAGCCCCGGCUAACUUCGUGCCAGCAGCCGCGGUAAUACAAAGGGGGCUAGCGUUGUUCGGAAUCACUGGGCGUAAAGGGCGCGUAGGCGGCUUUGUUGUCGGGGGUGAAAGCCUGUGGCUCAACCACAGAAUUGCCUUCCAUACUGCAUGGCUUGAGACCGGAAGAGGUUAGUGGAACUGCGAGUGUAGAGGUGAAAUUCGUAGAUAUUCUCAAGAACACCACUGGCGAAGGCAGCUGACUGGUCCGGAUCUGACGCUGAGGCGCGAAAGCGUGGGGAGCAAACAGGAUUAGAUACCCUGGUAGUCCACGCCGUACACGAUGAAUGCCACCCGUUGGCGAGCUUGCUCGUCAGUGGCGCAGCUAACGCUUUAAGCAUUCCGCCUGGGGAGUACGGUCGCAAGAUUAAAACUCAAAGGAAUUGACGG
rnacentral:rRNA from 1 species